GUAACCGUGAGGUUACAUCUGAAGGAAGCGAGACUACAAAACUCGGUACUGACGAACAGGAACCGUAUAAGAGGCAUUUAUGCAUGGGUAAGCAAGCACAUCAUUGUAACGCCCUAAAAUUACAAAAGUGCAUAAAUGUAGAUACGGCAGGAAUUGAGAGAAAGAAGAUGCC
rnacentral:ncRNA from 1 species